CACGUAGGAGGCAAACGUUAUCCGGAUUUACUGGGCGUAAAGCGCGUGUAGGUGGUUCUGUAAGUAGGGCGUGAAAGCUCCCGGCUCAACUGGGAGAGGCCGUUCUAAACUGCAGAGCUAGAGGAUGGUAGAGGGAGGUGGAAUUCCAGGUGUAGCGGUGGAAUGCGCAGAUAUCUGGAGGAACACCAGUGGCGAAUGCGGCCUCCUGGACCAUUCCUGACACUCAGACGCGAAAGCUAGGGUAGCAAACGGGAUUAGAUACCCGCGUA
rnacentral:rRNA from 1 species